UACGGGGGGAGCAAGCGUUGUUCGGAUUUACUGGGCGUAAAGGGCGCGUAGGCGGCCACCGCAAGUCGGUUGUGAAAUCUCUGGGCUUAACCCAGAAAGGUCAACCGAUACUGCGGGGCUAGAGUGCAGAAGGGGCAACUGGAAUUCUCGGUGUGGCGGUGAAAUGCGUAGAUAUCGAGAGGAACACCUGCGGCGAAGGCGGGUUGCUGGGCUGACACUGACGCUGAUGCGCGAAAGCUAGGGGAGCGAACGGG
rnacentral:rRNA from 1 species